rnacentral:snRNA from 1 species
GUGCUCGCUUUGGCAGCAUAUAUACUAAAAUUGGAAUGAUAGAGAUUAGCAUGGCCCUUGCACAAGGAUGACAUGCAAAUUUGUGAAGCAUUCUAUAUAUAU